AAGACUAUAGACCUGCGGAGUACCUGCGGAGGGAUCAUUACCGAGUUGCAAAACUCCCUAAACCAUUGUGAACCUACCUGUACCGUUCCUUCGGCGGGCGGCGUCAAGCCCUAACCCGGUCCCCUUUACGGGGGAUGGACCCGCCGGAGGCUCCUAAACUCUUAAUUUUAGUUGGCAUCUCUGAGUAAAUCAAAAUAAGUCAAAACUUUUAACAACGGAUCUCUAGAUCGGAAGAGCACA
rnacentral:misc_RNA from 1 species